rnacentral:tRNA from 1 species
GCAGCGGUGGUUCAGUGGUAGAAUUCUUGUCUUCCGUGCUGGAGACCCAGGUUCGAUUCCCAGCCAAUGCC